UACGUAGGGGGCGAGCGUUGUCCGGAUUUAUUGGGCGUAAAAGGCUUGUAGGUGGCCACGGCAAGUCGGAUGUGAAAUCUCCCGGCUCAACUGGGAGGGGUCAUUCGAUACUGCCGGGCUCGAGGCCGGUAGGGGGAAGCGGAAUUCCCGGUGUAGUGGUGGAAUGCGUAGAUAUCGGAAGGAACAUCAGUGGCGAAAGCGGCUUCCUGGUCCAGCACCGACGUUCAGGCACGAAAGCGUGGGGAGCAAACAGG
rnacentral:rRNA from 1 species